rnacentral:rRNA from 1 species
GACGAACGCUGGCGGCGUGCUUAACACAUGCAAGUCGAACGGAAAGGCCCUGCUUGCAGGGUACUCGAGUGGCGAACGGGUGAGUAACACGUGGGUGAUCUGCCCUGCACUUCGGGAUAAGCCUGGGAAACUGGGUCUAAUACCGGAUAGGAGCCAUUUUUAGUGUGAUGGUUGGAAAGUUUUUUCGGUGUAGGAUGAGCUCGCGGCCUAUCAGCUUGUUGGUGGGGUAAUGGCCUACCAAGGCGGCGACGGGUAGCCGGCCUGAGAGGGUGGACGGCCACAUUGGGACUGAGAUACGGCCCAGACGCCUACGGGAGGCAGCAGUGGGGAAUAUUGCACAAGGGGCGCAAGCCUGAUGCAGCGACGCCGCGUGGGGGAGGACGGCCUUCGGGUUGUAAACGCCUUUCGCUAGGGACGAAGCUUUUUGUGACGGUACCUAGAUAAGAAGCACCGGCUAACUACGUG